rnacentral:rRNA from 1 species
CCUACGGGAGGCAGCAGUGGGGAAUAUUGCACAAUGGGCGCAAGCCUGAUGCAGCCAUGCCGCGUGUGUGAAGAAGGCCUUCGGGUUGUAAAGCACUUUCAGCGGGGAGGAAGGCGGUGAGGUUAAUAACCUCAUCGAUUGACGUUACCCGCAGAAGAAGCACCGGCUAACUCCGUGCCAGCAGCCGCGGUAAUACGGAGGGUACAAGCGUUAAUCGGAAUUACUGGGCGUAAAGCGCACGCAGGCGGUCUGUCAAGUCGGAUGUGGAAUCCCCGGGCUCAACCUGGGAACUGCAUUCGAAACUGGCAGGCUAGAGUCUUGUAGAGGGGGGUAGAAUUCCAGGUGUAGCGGUGAAAUGCGUAGAGAUCUGGAGGAAUACCGGUGGCGAAGGCGGCCCCCUGGACAAAGACUGACGCUCAGGUGCGAAAGCGUGGGGAGCAAACAGGAUUAGAUACCCCUGUAGUC